UCUCUAUCACAGCCUUUCCCAAUGUGAUUGGUUUCUAGUUCAACUGUUGCCUGAAUUGAGGUUAUUGGUUCAUCACAUGUCUCCAAACGCAUACUUGGGAAGAGUGCUAAAGAACCAGUACCAGGUUCAUAUUCUAUUCUUUUGCUCCAACCUUGCCAGCCAGGCUUGCAUGUAGGCUUAAUGCUAAUUUUAACCAAUACAUCCUCAGCAGCUCUCUUCUUCCCACAGUCAUACGCAGUUACUGUCAGUUUAUACUGAUGCUCUUUGCCAUAGCUCAACUUUUCUGUGUUUUUUAUAUAACCGUCUUUGUCAAUAGCAAAAGGAACAUCCGGAGUUACAAUUUCAUAGUUGCAGAUCUGGCUGAACUGAGGUGAACAAUCUGCAUCCACUGCUUCUACUUUCAGGAUGUUAUCAUACCUCUUCCCUUCAAUAACCGUUGCCUUGUAUGAUUUCUCUUUGAACACGGGAGAAUACUCAUUAACAUCGUUCACCUGAAUGUGUACCGUUGCUUUGUGGGAUUUUUUUGCAUUUGCUCCAUCUGGUCCCUUCCCACAGUCAUAGGCCUGUAUGGUGAACGUGUAGUCCUUCUGUAGUUCACAGUCGAGUUUUUCUUUGGAGCGUAUUAUUCCCUCACCAGUGGAUUUAUCCACUACCACUGCUUCAAAGGGGACAUUCUGCCCAUGAAUUUUAAAUCCACAAAUCUCACCUUCUUUGGUGACUGUCACCUCAAAACUCUCUGCAAAACGCAGAGGUGCAUCUUUGUCCAGGGCUAUUAAAGGGGGGUCCAGGAGAACUGUGUUGUCAUUUUCUGUGACUAUCCCAUGAUACGUCGUUUCAAUCCAUGGCUUAUGCUUGUUAACUCGAGCGGCCCCGGCUCCUCCGCAGAGCAGCGCGGCCAGCAGCAGCAGGCAGCGGGCGGGGGGCGGCAUGGCAGCGCGGAGCGGUGAGGGGCAGCGCGCAGCCCCGGCUGCGGGGAGGCUGUGGCGCCCCCGCUGGUCCGGGCUCCGCUCUGCGUGCGCCGGGCGGAGGGCUCUGCUCGGCCCCGAGGAGGAGGAGGAGGAAGGGGAGGGAGGAGAAGCGCUGCGCUGCCCCGCUCCGCUCGGCUUUUCUCUCCUCCCCUCCCUCCCGCCCUCCCCCGCCUCGCUGCUGCGCGGCGCCCCGCGAGCGGCACCUAAAAUGGCGGCCGCCCCCCCCGCGCCGCGAGCCGUUACCAAGCGGAGGGAGCGAACCAACGGCGCGGGCGGGGGGCGCGGGAGAGCCCAUGUGCGGGCGGGGGAGGGGCGGGAGGAGCCCCGCCGGGCGCUACGGCAACGCGGGCGCAGCUGCGGGGCGGCUGGCGGCGAUGGGCUUUUUGCGCAGCUGAGGGGGCGGCCGGUUGUCCGGAGCCGAGCUGAGCACGGAUGGACGAGAAGAGCACCGCUGCAGCAAGAGUUAAAGCCCCGAUGGAGCCAUUUAAAUGCUGUUAGUGCUCUUCUUGCAGCAAAAAAAGGAAAAAAGAAAAGAAAAAGGCUGAGGUUUCACUAACCCCAGCCAGCAAGGGCAGCAGAGGGGCACAGAACAACCUGCAGGGCCCCACAGCUACCCCUGUGCAAACGGCAGCGGCUCCACCUGAACGCUCCUGCCAGGGCACAGGGCCGCAAGUUGUGUAUGGGAUAAUCUGCAAGUGCUACCAGAAAAAUAGCACUGAAUAGGAAUAGAUCACACCAAACCUGCGCUGUGAUAGGAAAGCUCUUGGUGCUCCGGCCAAGAGUUGCAAUUGGAAGGUGCUUAAAGAGAAGAAUUGCCAUAGUCAGAGUUUUGAUGGAGAAAAUGCAAGCAAGGCAGUUCAUACUUAGGUAUGACUGCUCAUGGUUUGUACCAAUUGGCCAUUGCUCCCACGGGGAAAUACAAAUAAAACCCAGAACAGUCAAGACCCCAGAAAUGAGGUGUGUAUUCUAAAGCACUGUGACUUAAAUAUCAAGACAGCGCUUGCAGCAAGAGGUCAAACUGGCAAGACGAUGCAUUUGGAUAUUGCAGAGGCUGCUCUGCCCCCACGGAGGGUUUUCCAUCCUUCAAACCAGCCACCCUUACGUAAACGUGCCAAUAUGAUGAUGUGCAGAGAAGAGGAAUUCCAAGAGAAAUCCAUCAUGGCUCACUACAACGAAUGGCGCUCCAGUUCCUGCCCUGUGCUAUGAGACCAUCCCCUCACCACACAACCAAGCAGUCACGUUCAUCCCAUUGACUGCAUGCUGUAAGGCCACCAGCUCAGCAGCAGCUAAGACAUUUUGUUUCUUUAAAGGUAAAGCCUCAGUCUAAACCCCCUUGGUGUCUCAGCCUAACAUAUGCUGGAUGGCAGAUCGUGUCAGAAGAAGCCUGUAGCCCAUCUGUUGCCAGAGAGCUGAGUCCUUACAUUCUGCCAACGCAGCUUCAGCUGACAGCAUGCUACAUCAUCUAUUUUUCUUUGUACCAAGAGUGGAAGGGCUGCCCAGCUCAGCACGACUCUCUCCCUGACUUAUCGCAUGGAGAACCACCCCACGAGCGUGGAUCUGCAAGGAGAGGUUAAGGUGAUUGCCCAUUGGUGUAUGCAUGGUCUAAACCAUCUUUUGCAUAAGUAUUCAUUUUGAAUUAGGAAUAUAAUGGAGUUUGAAUACCAAUAAAAAGGUAUCUGAAGGGGGCCUAGAAGUCAGUGGGCAGCUGGCAUGCAGGCACAUACAAACCCCUAAUCUAACACAAUUUCUGCAAAAUAAUGUUUACCUUUAAACUGCAGAUCACUCCAGGCUCACUCAUCUUGACAGAGGAAGAGCAGAAUUCGCCCCAUAGUCCACUCUAACACAUUCACAUGGGGAAGAGCGCUCCGCCUUUAGAAGCAUAAAGGUUGGAAAAGAUUACCAAGAGCAUCCAGCACACCCCCAGCCCAUCCCCAUCCCCUCUAUCCCUCAGCACCACGCAGUUACCCUUCUGAAAACCUCCAGGGACCUCUGACCACAGCGAGGAGGGGGCUGCGGUGUUACCAUCCUGACUCAUCUAAACGAUUCCAAAGAAAACAGACAUUGUUGAGAGAAGAAAUGCCGUGUCCAGGUAAGCUUCAUUUAUUGCAGGGCGACAGUGUCAGCUCAGAGAAAUUCAUCAGCUGAAUCAGUCAUGACGAAACUGGGAAAAUUCCAAGGCAAGAGAAGGCAUUGAUUGCAUCUUCCUCUGAGCAAAACUCCUCCGAAGCAGCUGUGACUAAGGCACUGAUUCAGUAAAGCCAACAGGCCAUAUUAAGCUCAGCUAGAUGAUUUUGCUUGGGUAGAUGACUAACUGGUUUGAACUGGCACGUCAGUGGUUGAGGAACUGGUGAUAUGGGAGCACUCCAUCUGCAGCAGAGACGAGAAAUUGGAAGCGAUCCGUGUCACCACGGAUGUUCCACUGGCACUUAAUCCAGAAGCACGGCAAAUAAAACACCCUCUCAAUGCCUUUCAUAUUACAGAAUUGGAUUUA
rnacentral:lncRNA from 1 species